ensembl:lncRNA
AUGAUGUCAUACCUGUGGAUUCUGCUAUUAGGAAGCCUGCUGGCUACGCACGCCAAGGCACAAGACGAUAUAAUCCCAACAGUAGAGCCAUCUAUUGAAACUCCCACAUCUAAAGCAGAUGUAGAGGUCAUCGACCAACAUAACCUUGAGGAGGCAGUCACUGCAACUGAGGAAGUAUUGCAGCCUGAGCCCACUGCUGACCCUGAGACUGAAUUAAUCCAAGAAGCAAAUGCUGCAGAUGUAAGCACAGAGCCAGUGGCUACAGAUGCUCCUGCAGGUGAGGAGGGGGAAUCAGCAAGUCCUACGACUGGAGAAACAGAAGCAAUUAUUUCUGAAGCAGCUACAACCACACAAGCUGCUGAUUCUGAGGAUGACGCUCCAGAAGCUACGCAAACAGCAGUUAAUGAGGAGGAGCAACCCACCACAAAUGCGAAUACAACACCUGCUCAAGACAAGAGUGGACUUCAUGACAUCAUAACAACAGUAGGUCUAGAAACCAAUGAGGAGGCACCAACUGAUCCAUCUGCUAAUGAAGAGUCAUCCACAGAUGAUUUCACAACAUUCGCAGAUGAAACUGUCACUAUGAAUCCAGGGUUUAACAUUGAGAAGACGUCAAUUGCAGAGCAGGAAACACAUGGGUCAAACCAGGAAACUCACGUGAAGGGCAGGAUGGGACCACAGCUGAAUUCAGGUGGGUUAAACCAGGAAAGUCCCGUGGAGAAGAGGGUGGUAACACACCAGGAGUUAGGUGCACCUCUGUCAAAAGAAGAAAGGAAAGACGAAGAUGUGUCUGCUUUGGGUGCCUCAGGGAGUGAUGAUAAACAGUCCCAAAAGGCCAGCUCAAGCUCUUUAGCAGCAAUCCUUAGUGCGAUUGUUGUGUCUGCAGUGGGAGCAAUCGCUGGAUACUUCACCUAUCAACAGAAGAAGCUGUGCUUCAAAAAUAGACAGGAAGCAGACCCUGAGGCUCCACACAAAGCUGAUGCAGCAGAGGCUCGGUCAGAUCCCCAGGGUAUGACACACACACACACACACACACACACACACAACGAAAACGUAAAGAACACAUUUUUUGAUAUAAAUAUUUACAUGUAG